AAAGGCAGAGCACCUAGGAGCAGCCCCUCCCUUCAUGAUUCUGUAAUGACUCCACCAAUCAGAUGGCUCAUUACCUCUCACCCAAUCAGAAGGCAGAAGUAAUCAGUCCUGCAGCUGCAAUUAUCAGUGCCUCAGUAGCUGAGAGAGAUGGAGAGAGUUCAGCUUCAUAGUUUAAGUUUAAAGUUGAUUGUUCAGGUUGUUAAAUUAUAAGCUGCUCAGUUCAUUUGGUGUGCGUACGUUUAAAGUAAGUACUAUGGACCUUUUCUUGUGUUAGUUUAUACACUACAUAUUUGUAAAUGUUAACUAGAAAUGUUGCUAAGUAAAUGCUUAAUGUCGAUCAGAUGUGUAGCUAAAUGCCCUUGAUUUUGUUUGCCUAUUUGAGAAGGACCGUUGUUAAUUUGUAUAUGUUUGAUGGUGUAUGUUGACUCCUUAAUCAAUAUUUCACUAAACUAGUUCUGUAUUGGUUUUAUUUACAGAACCACACAUGCAUAUAAGUCAAUAAACUACUGAGCAGAUUUCCAGUUUCCGUUGCUGAUUCACAUCCUCGGGGACAUCCUAACCAAGUUCUUAUCCGACUUCCUGUAGUGGUUCAAUUAACCUGAACCAGACUUAGAUGCUAGUAUACCAAUAUGUGUCCUUUUAUUUAAUGGUCCUCCGAGCCGGAUCAGUGAACUACUACAGUGAGGAUGUCAGAUCACAGUCAAGAACAACCUGUAGUUAGACCUCGGAGAACACUAAACCGUCCUGGUUACCUUACGGACUAUGACCUCACAGGACUUCAGUCUCUGCGUCAUUUAUCUCAACCUGAUAGAAACUGGGAAGAUGAAGCACAGCAUACAUCAGACCCCACUGGGUACAGUACCCCUGUUAGCCAGGCUCCCAGUCUAAAUGAGUGUCUCAUCACAGAUCAGUGGGAGAAUACAGUAGGAGAUAUGGCUCAAGAGCAUGUGGAAUCUCCCAAACAGAAGAACCCACUGUCUGAUUUGACUGCUAUCUGGCAGGAGAUGAAAAGGGAACAUGAUGUAUUGCGCCAGCAAACCAGUCACUUUCCUGAACUCUUAUCAGCAUUCCAGGAGAUGAGACGAGACAAUGCAAUUCUGCAUAGGGAAGUUAAGGAACUCAGGUUAGAGAUGAGAACCUCACCUCAUAGACUGACCCAUCCAGUUCCAUCACCUCGCCUACAUGCUACGGCAGGACGUACAAACCCAAGUGCAGAUCUAUUCUGCCCCAUACCUGCACCUCGUCAUAGCCUGGCACAACACAAAGUACACUCUGCCCCAAUUGAUUCUACAGAGAGGAUCACACAACAGAUGGGCCAAAUUGAUUUUUCUCCAAGACAUCGGUCAUUGCAGUAUGACCACCCAUCCAACCAGUUUCAGCCUAGCCCUUCGAACAAUAAGUGCUAUGACAUUCAUAAUGUUCAAGCACAAAACCAUCCUCCACAGCAUCAUACAGGUCCAUGCAAACAAGAGAAGACCUACAGAGGGCCAACUCCAACUAUUCCUAAUCUAAGCUCUCCAGACCCAAGAGAGUUUUCCAGAUUAAGGAUUGCCCUGGAGAAUAUUUUACCAGAAGAUGCUACAGAGCGCUUCAAGUUUCAGAUAUUGGCAGACCACUUAAAGCUUGAAGAAGCUCUACUUGUCGCUGAUUCUUACAGCAACUCUCCAUAUCCUUUUAGCAACACCAUGAGUGCUCUCAACAAAAUGUAUGGUCAGCCCCAUCAGUUGGCCUUGCAACACAUUGCAGAAGUUAUGGAUGGCCCAGAUAUUGGCAGUGGAGAUGUGAAGUCUUUCCGCAUGUUUGCUCUUCGAGUUCGCUCCCUCGUGAGCAUGUUGGAGCAGUUGGGGAGAAAGGGUAAUGUCGAAUUGGAAUGUGGAUCCCACGUCACAAGAUUACAGAGCAAACUCCCACAUGACCUCAGAUCUGGAUUUAAGCGAUACAUCCACCCAUUGGGAGUGUCUGUACCUACUUUACUUGAUCUGGCUGAAUGGCUGGAAUAUGAGCUGCAAGUCCAAGAGGAUAGCAUCAAAUUCUCUUCCCAUACUCACAGAGAUUCUUCCAGUAGGCGGAGAGAGGUCCGCAAAGACAUCAAGCAAACCAGUAAACUUACCAGUAUCCUCCUCAACACAGAGAGGUCUUCAGCAAGUAAGACCACAGCAUUUGAGAUACAAGAUAAAAGUGCAGAUCAGAAAGUAAAACCUUAUUGUCCCUACUGUGACAACAGCAAUCACUUUCUAAAUAGUUGUGCCAAUUUUAAGCAGCUGACCAGAGACCAGAAGGAGAAUUGGAUCAGAACCAAUAACGGAUGCUGGCGUUGUGGCCGUGGUCAUCAAGCUGCUAAAUGCACAUUGAAAGCACCCUGCAAGAUGUGUAAUAGGAGACAUUUGGCAGUCCUACAUGAUGUGAAUGAGAGAGCAGAGGCAAAGGCUAAUCCAGUAGAGAACUCUUGUCUGGUAAGCACAGCCAGUGAGGUCCUGUACGUUGAUCGCCCAACAUACAACCGAAAGGUACUACUGAAAGUCAGCAAAGUGGUUCUUAGCAAUGGAGAUAGGUCCAUGGAAGCAUAUGCGGUGCUAGAUGAUGGAUCAGAGCGGACUAUUAUUCUCCACACUGCGGCUAAGAAGUUGGGCCUAAAAGGACAACCUGAAGACUUAGUCCUCCGCACAGUCCGGCAGGACCUGCAGGUUCUCCAUGGGGCAGCUGUAUCAUUCAUGAUAUCUCCUGUAGCUGAGCCCAAGAGAAAAUUCAAGAUACAGAGUGCAUUCACCGCUGAGCCUUUGGGACUAGCAGAGCAUUCUCAUCCAGUUGCUCUUCUACAAAGAAGGUAUAGACAUCUUCUGGGCUUGCCAUUACAACAGCUAGACAAAGUCUCCCCAGUGCUGCUGAUUGGUUCUGACUGUCCACAUCUCAUCACUCCUAUAGAGCCUGUAAGACUAGGGCCCCCUGGUGGCCCUGCAGCAGUGAAAACGAGACUGGGUUGGACUCUCCAAGGGCCAGCACGAGAGCUCAGAGAUAAUCUUACCCCACAGCAGUGUCUGUUUACAUCCAUGUCACCCUGUGCUGAUUUGCAUACCCAUGUGGAGAAACUGUGGCAAAUGGAUGUGUUUCCAUACCGUAGUGAGAAGGCUGUUACCAGGUCAAAGCAAGAUCAUGAAGCUGUCCAACUUCUGCAGGAGAAGACAGUUCGAGUUGAAGUGAAUGGCAUUAAAAGAUAUGCUACCCCUCUCCUUCGUACCAGAAAUAUGGCACACCUACGUGCAUCCGAAGAUGCAACCUUGCCACAGCUUAGAAGUAUUGAGAGGAAGUUGGCCAAGGAUUCCAAUCAAGCUGCUGCUUAUCAAGCCGAGAUUGACAAACUGGAACAGUCUGGCUAUAUUGUGAAACUAUGUCCAAAACAGGUGGAACAAUCAGAUGAAGCAUGGUAUGUACCACACCACAUGGUACAACACAAUGGGAAGAACCGAGUGGUAUUUAACUGCUCAUUUCAGUACAAGGGUCAUAAUUUGAAUCAGAUGCUGCUGCCAGGUCCCACUCUCAGUCCACCACUAUUAGCAGUCCUCCUUCGCUUUCGAGAGCACACUAUUGCCAUCAGUAGUGACAUCCGGAGUAUGUUCCAUCAAGUGUGCUUACUCCCCCAGGAUAGAGCUCUUGUCAGAUUCUUGUGGCGAGACCUGAAGCGAGAAAACCCUCCCAGUGUUUACGAAUGGAGAGUCCUUCCAUUCGGGACUACCUGCAGCCCUUGCUGUGCUGUAUUUGCUUUGCAAAAGCAUGCGGCAGAAUGCAGUCAAGCAGGAGAAGCUGUCCAGCAUUCAGUGGAAAAGUCAUUUUAUGUAGAUAAUUGUCUCCAGAGUUUCAGCUCCACUGAAAGUGCUAGAGACAUGGUGGACAAACUUCUCAUUACCCUCAGGGUAGGAGGAUUUGAGUUACGACAGUGGGCCAGCAAUGAGCCCUCUGUAAUCAGACAUCUCCCUCCAGAAAUCAGGUCUGAAAGUAGUGAACUAUGGCUCAGCGAAGGUCAUCAAGACAUACCAGAAUCCACCCUUGGCUUGCACUGGAAUUGCCAAUCUGAUACCUUGUCAUACAAGCACCGCAGGGUAGACAGCUCAGUAGUCACUAUGCGCACCAUCUACAAGAUUUUGGCUUCUCAAUAUGACCCUCUCGGUUAUAUUGUCCCCUAUACCACCAGAGCAAAGCUGUUGGUCCAACGUCUAUGGGAUAAAAAGAGAGGGUGGGAUGACCCACAGUUACCAGAAGAGUUGCUCACCGCUUGGCGCAGAUGGGAAGCUGAACUUGAUGAUCUGCAGAGUAUUCACAUACCCAGAUGUUAUACAAGCCCAGAAAUGGAUCACCCUAGCAGUGUGAGGGAGAUACACGUGUUCUGCGAUGCUUCUGAACAAGCCUAUGGUUCUGUUGCUUAUUUGCGAACUGAGAACCAUGGUAAAGUAGAGGUAGCUUUCCUGACGGCAAGGUCUCGUGUUGCUCCCAAGAAACAGCAGUCGAUACCCCGUUUAGAGUUAUGUGCUGCACUUACAGGUGCCCAGAUGUCAAAGGUCCUCAAAACUGAACUAACUCUUACUAUUCAACAUGUUGUACUAUGGACUGAUUCGACCACAGUACUUACAUGGUUAAAUUCAGACUCCUGUCACUACAAAGUUUUUGUGGGGACCAGAGUGGCGGAGAUACAAGACCUGACAGAGGCAGACACAUGGAGGUAUGUCCGGUCCUGUGACAACCCAGCAGAUGAUGUAACUCGGGGAAAAACUCUUCACGAGCUAGCUGACAACAGUCGUUGGAUCCAUGGGCCUCCAUUUCUCAGACAGUCACCAGAACACUGGCCAGAGCCACCGUCCCUUACUACUAAUGAGCAAGAUAGUGAGCUGAGGACAUCUACUUUCUGUGGUAUAACCACAACUACUUACCUCUUGCAAGACCCUGCACAGUACCAGACCUUUCAGAAGUUAAUUCAAGCAACUGCCUUGCUGCAUCAUGGUACUCAAGAUAUAUCCUCCCUCUCAGCAGAAGAUUAUACGAAUGCUGAAAUUGCAGCCCUACGUCAGGUGCAAUUGGAAUCAUUCCCCACCGAAGUAGCUCAUCUGAAGGCAGGCAAGCCAGUGUCAGCCACUAGUCGACUGUUAGCACUUGCCCCAGAAUUUGAUCACACAAGCCAGUUAAUCAGAGUGGGUGGUCGUCUCCGCCGUGGUACUCUGCUCGAGCCAGAAAUGGUCCACCCAAUUCUUCUCGAUCCCCAUCAUCCAAUCACUAAGCUUCUCAUCAAAGAUUAUGAUGACCAGUUGCAUCAUCCUGGAUCAGAGAGGCUGUUUUCCGAGGUCAGGAGAAAGUUUUGGAUACUAAGAGGGCGUGAAGCCAUUCGUCAACACCAACGAAACUGUGCCGAAUGUAGGAAAUGGCGAGCCCGUCCAAACCCACCAAGGAUGGCUGACCUUCCUCCAGCUCGAUUGCGCAUCCUGAAACCAGCAUUCUACUCUACUGGUGUUGACUGUUUUGGUCCCUACAUGAUCAAGAUUGGGCGCCGCAGUGAGAAAAGAUGGGGGAUACUGUUCAAGUGUCUGACCACUAGGGCAGUCCACAUUGAUAUCCUCACCAGUAUAGACAUGGAUGCCUUUUUGAUGGCUCUCAGGAGAUUCAUUGCAAGGCGUGGAAAACCUUUUGAGGUUUUGUGUGAUCAGGGCACGAACUUUAAAGGAGGGGAGAGAGAGCUCAAAGAGGCAUUCAAUGCCCUCCAUUCAGAUCUUCAAGCUCAACUUGCAGGCCACCAAAUCAAAUUUGCUUUCAAUCCUCCAGGUGCACCUCAUUUUGGAGGUUGCUGGGAAAGGGAAAUUCGGUCAGUUAAAUCUGCUCUUCAAGUUACACUAGGGGCCCAAGCAGUCACAGAAGAAGUACUGAGGACACUUCUCAUAGAGGUUGAAGGGAUCCUCAAUUCCAAACCUCUUGGCUACACAUCUUCGGAUCUGGCAGACCCUGACCCAGUUACCCCAAACAUCCUCCUUAUGGGGCGGCGAGAUGCUUCUUUACCACAAGUAGUCUACCAGAACUCAGAAAUGUUAGGUCGUCGGAGAUGGAGGCAUAGCCAACUCUUGGCUGACCAUUUUUGGAAACAUUUCAUCCAGUAUUAUUUACCCAGCCUGCAAGCACGCCAAAAAUGGAAGACAGAGAAACAAGAUCUUCAACUUGAGGAUACAGUUAUGAUCAUUGACCCACAGCUGCCUCGUGCAUUAUGGCCAGUAGGGAGGGUUACCCAGGUAUUUCCUGGUGCUGACAAAAGGAUCAGGUCGGCAGACGUACAAGUUAAGGACAGAACCUAUACUCGGCCUGUAGCCAGACUUGUUAGUCUUCCCGCUCUGCCUGAUGACGAUUAGUAUAUUCCAUUCAGCACUUGCAGUUGGCCUUUUGAUGUACAAAUUCCACAUGUGAAUUUGGGGGCGGCUGUGCAAAAGGCAGAGCACCUAGGAGCAGCCCCUCCCUUCAUGAUUCUGUAAUGACUCCACCAAUCAGAUGGCUCAUUACCUCUCACCCAAUCAGAAGGCAGAAGUAAUCAGUCCUGCAGCUGCAAUUAUCAGUGCCUCAGUAGCUGAGAGAGAUGGAGAGAGUUCAGCUUCAUAGUUUAAGUUUAAAGUUGAUUGUUCAGGUUGUUAAAUUAUAAGCUGCUCAGUUCAUUUGGUGUGCGUACGUUUAAAAACCACACAUGCAUAUAAGUCAAUAAACUACUGAGCAGAUUUCCAGUUUCCGUUGCUGAUUCACAUCCUCGGGGACAUCCUAACCAAGUUCUUAUCCGACUUCCUGUAGUGGUUCAAUUAACCUGAACCAGACUUAGAUGCUAGUAUACCAAUAUGUGUCCUUU